rnacentral:rRNA from 1 species
CACGGGGUUGCGAGCGUUGUCCGGAAUUACUAGGCGUAAAGGGCAGGCAGGCGGAUCCAUAAGUUUAUCGUUUAAGGCGUCGGCUUAACCGGCGUAGGGCGGUAGAUACUGUGGAUCUGGAAUGCGGUUGGGGAAGACAGAAUUCCUGGUGUAGCGGUGGAAUGCGCAGAGAUCAGGAGGAAUACCGAAGGCGAAGGCAGUCUUCCAAGCCGUUAUUGACGCUCAACUGCGAAGGUGUGGGUAUCAAACAGGAUUAGAUACCCUGGUAGUUCCUGA